rnacentral:rRNA from 1 species
AGCAGCCGCGGUAAUUCCAGCUCCAAUAGCGUAUAUUAAAGUUGUUGCAGUUAAAAAAGCUCGUAGUUGAAUUUCGGGAUUCUUCCGUUGGUCAGGCUAACAAGUCUGUACUAGCGUGUAGAAUCUCUACCUUCUGGGGAACCAUCAUGUUAUUAAUUUAGCGUGGUGGGAAACCAGG